rnacentral:rRNA from 1 species
UGGGGAAUCUUGCACAAUGGGGGAAACCCUGAUGCAGCGACGCCGCGUGAGCGAUGAAGGUUUUCGAAUCGUAAAGCUCUGUCCUAUGGGAAGAUAAUGACGGUACCAUAGGAGAAAGCCCCGGCUAACUACGUGCCAGCAGCCGCGGUAAUACGUAGGGGGCGAGCGUUGUCCGGAAUUACUGGGCGUAAAGGGUUCGCAGGCGGCAUGACAAGUCCGAUGUAAAAGGAGAAAGCUCAACUUUCGUAAGCAUCGGAAACUGUCAAGCUUGAGUGAAGGAGAGGCAAGGGGAAUUCCUAGUGUAGCGGUGGAAUGCGUAGAUAUUAGGAGGAAUACCGGUGGCGAAGGCGACUUGCUGGACUUCAACUGACGCUGAGGAACGAAAGCGUGGGUAGCAAACAGG